UACUACCAUAUGUAUAAUAAAAUGCUCCGCUGGGCGCAGCUUGAUACGACCGCAGAGGUCGAACCCUGAACAGUUGGGGCAAGUAUGGACACAACAUUCAAGCUUGAUACAGCUCUGAAUUUGGAUUGUGAUUAAAUAUUUGACACAGCAUAGGUUUCUGACACAGAAAGAAUGUGGUCUAAGAACUUCAAUUUUUUUAAUUUACCUAUAAUGGUCC